UGGGGAAUAUUGGACAAUGGGCGCAAGCCUGAUCCAGCCACGCCGCGUGAGUGAUGAAGGCCUUCGGGUCGUAAAGCUCUGUGGGGAGGGACGAACGGCGCCAUGAAGAGUGGCGAUUGACGGUACCUCCUUAGCAAGCACCGGCUAACUUCGUGCCAGCAGCCGCGGUAAUACGAAGGGUGCAAACGUUGCUCGGAAUCAUUGGGCGUAAAGCGCACGUAGGCGGCUUUCUAAGUCGGAUGUGAAAUCCCUCGGCUUAACCGAGGACGUGCAUCCGAAACUGGGAGGCUUGAGUAUGGAAGAGGGUCGCAGAAUUCCCGGUGUAGAGGUGAAAUUCGUAGAUAUCGGGAGGAAUACCAGUGGCGAAGGCGGCGACCUGGGCCAAUACUGACGCUGAGGUGCGAAAGCGUGGGGAGCAAACAGG
rnacentral:rRNA from 1 species